rnacentral:rRNA from 1 species
CCUACGUGUGGCAGCAGUGAGGAAUAUUGGUCAAUGGGCGGGAGCCUGAACCAGCCAAGUCGCGUGAGGGAAGAAGGUACUGAGUAUUGUAAACCUCUUUUGCCAGGGGACAAAGGCGUCCACGGGUGGCCGUAAGAGGGUACCUGGAGAAAAAGCAUCGGCUAACUCCGUGCCAGCAGCCGCGGUAAUACGUAGGGAGCGAGCGUUGUCCGGAUUUACUGGGUGUAAAGGGUGCGUAGGCGGCUUGGCAAGUCAGUAGUGAAAUCCAUGGGCUUAACCCAUGAACUGCUAUUGAAACUGUCGAGCUUGAGGGAAGUAGAGGUAGGCGGAAUUCCUGGUGUAGCGGUGAAAUGCGUAGAGAUCGGGAGGAACACCAGUGGCGAAGGCGGCCUACUGGGCUUUAACUGACGCUGAGGCACGAAAGCGUGGGUAGCAAACAGGAUUAGAUACCCGGGUAGUC